rnacentral:rRNA from 1 species
GACGAACGCUGGCGGCGUGCUUAACACAUGCAAGUCGAACGGAAAGGCCCUGCUUUUGUGGGGUGCUCGAGUGGCGAACGGGUGAGUAACACGUGAGUAACCUGCCCUUGACUUUGGGAUAACUUCAGGAAACUGGGGCUAAUACCGGAUAGGAGCUCCUGCUGCAUGGUGGGGGUCGGAAAGUUUCGGCGGUUGGGGAUGGACUCGCGGCUUAUCAGCUUGUUGGUGGGGUAGUGGCUUACCAAGGCUUUGACGGGUAGCCGGCCUGAGAGGGUGACCGGCCACAUUGGGACUGAGAUGCGGCCCAGACUCCUACGGGAGGCAGCAGUGGGGAAUAUUGCACAAUGGGCGGAAGCAUGAUGCAGCAACGCCGCGUGCGGAAUGACGGCCUUCGGGUUGUAAACCGCUUUCACCUGUGGCGAAGCGUGAGUGACGGUAAUGGGUAAAGAAGCACCGGCUAACUACGUG